AUAGGAAAUUAAGAGCAUAUGGUGGAUGCCUAGGUUCUGCAUGGCGAUGAAAGACGCGAGAGGCGGCGAUACGCUUCGGGGAGGUGUCUCUAACCUUUGAUCCGGAGAUUUCUGAAUGGGGAAACCCUAUUGAGCAAACCUCAAUAACUCCACAGCAUAAGACUGUCGAGAGCACACCCAGGGAAGUGAAACAUCUCAGUACCUGGAGGAAAAGAAAAAAAUGUGACGUAGUCACGAGAUUCCCUGAGUAGCGGCGAGCGAAACGGGAACAGCCCAAACCGUAGUCUUCGGACUGCGGGGUUGUAGGGCAAUAACGUCGUUUUAUUACGAGAAGAGUUACAAAGAGUAUAUAUAGAAAAAGCUGUUGGAAAUCAGCGCCAUAGUAGGUGAUAGCCCUGUAUUCGAAAUGUAUACACCUCUUUUGUUAUUGUUCCUGAGUACUUCCGGACACGAAUAGCCGGGAGGAAUCUGCCAGAACUAACUGGUAAGGCUAAAUACAUUGCAGAAACCGAUAGUGAACUAGUACCGUGAGGGAAAGGUGAAAAGUAGUCCGAUAGGACAGUGAAAUAGUACUGAAACCAUAUGUUUACAAGGAGUCGGAAAUGGGUAUUUAUAUCCAUCACGGCGUGCCUAUUGAAGAAUGAGCCAACGAGUUUAUGUGUGCGGCUUGACUAAGGGCUAAAGGUCCGGAGUCGUAGCGAAAGCAAGUGUUAAUAGCGCGUCUGCCAUUUAUGGCGGUCGUAUACAUAAGACCCGAAGCCAGGUGAGCUAUCCAUGAGCAGGGUGAAGUGCUGAGAAAUCAGCAUGGAGGCCCGAACCGGUAGAUCGUACAACGUCUUCGGAUGACUUGUGGAUUGGAGUGAAAAGCUAAUCGAACCUGGUAAUAGCUGGUUCUCUCCGAAAUAGCUUUAGGGUUAGCGUCACGUGUUCCCUUUGGGGGUAGAGCACUGGAAAGUUUCGACAGGGAGCAAUCUCGCGAAAUUUAUCAAACUCCGAAUACCAAAGAUUAAGAACGUGGCAGUUAGACUACGGGGGCUAAGCUCCGUCAGUCAAAAGGGAAACAGCCCAGAUCUCUAAAUAAGGUCCCUAAAUAUACGCUCAGUGCGUCUUAAGGAUGUGAGAUUUCUCUGACAAUGAGGAAGUUGGCUUAGAAGCAGCCAUCUUUUAAAGAAAGCGUAACAGCUCACUCAUCGAGAGAUUUUGCGCCGCAGAUAAUCGGGGCUCAAGCGUAUUACCGAAUUUGAGGGCUUAUGCAUUUAUGCAUGAGCGGUAGGAGAGUAUUCCACUCUAGCAGUGAAGCCAAAGGCGUGAGCCAUGGUGGAGCGUGUGGAAGUAAGAAUGUUGGCACAAGUAACCGCAAGUAGGGUGAGAUCCCCUGCCGCCGAAACACUAAGGUUUCCUGGGCAACGGUAAUCGUCCCAGGGUUAGUCGGGUCCUAAGGCAAUGGCGAAAGCCGCAGUCGAUGGACACAGGGUUAAUAUUCCCUGACUUCUUUAAUAUUCGAUGGAGUGACGAAGAGUAGUAGUAUGUGCCGGUAAUUGGAUUCCGGUAGGCAACUCGAAUGUGCAGGAUAGGUAAAUCCGUUCUGCUGACUUUAAUGUCAACACCAGGGUUGUCUCGUGCAGAGGUACGCCAAAGCGAAGACAUGUGAGCACACUUCCGAGAAAAACUUCUAAGAUUAGUAUUAGAGAACCCGUACCGUAAACCGACACAGGUAGUGAGGUCGAGUAGACCAAGGCGAACGAGUAAGAGAUCCCCAAGGAACUCGGCAAAUAAGCAGCCGUAACUUCGGAAUAAGGCUUCCCCUCAGCAAUGGGGGGCGCAGCGAAAGUUUUCCUGGCAACUGUUUACCAAAAACACAGCUCCCUGCGAACUCGUAAGAGUAUGUAUAGGGGGUGACACCUGACCGAUGCCAGAAGGUUAAAUACGGGUGGUGAUCUCGCAAGAGUGAGCUGACCUGUAUAAGCCCUGGUGAAUGUCGGCCGUAACUAUAACGGUCCUAAGGUUCUCGGUUUGUCUGCAGUAUUUAUAUUGCGGACGAAUCGAGAACGGACUGGGACUGUUAUAGUGUGUAAGUAAACAGAUUAAUACACCAAUUUAAAAAUGCUACCUACCACUCAGUAAUGGGUGGAACAGUCCAUUGUGAUUAACGAGAGACCAACGUCACAGACCCGACUUCGAAAGAAAGGGUUAAGAGAGAGUCCAUCUUGAUAGGAAUAGAUGAGCGAAAUUCCUUGUCGGGUAAGUUCCGACGCGCACGAAUGGUGUAAUGACUGGGAAGCUGUCUCGGGGAUUUGCUCGGUGAAAAUACAAUACCGGUGAAGAUGCCGGUUACCUGCAGUUAGACGAAAAGACCCCGGAAGCUUUACUAUAGCUUGGUAUUGGGCAUGUUUGUGUAUUACGUAGAAUAGGAAGGAGACUUUGAAGCGCCGCUCUCGGGCCGCGUGGAGUCGUCAGUGAAAUACUUCUUUUUACAUGGGCAUGUUCUAACCCUGACGGAAAAAACGUUAGGGAACAGUGCCUGGUUGGUAGUUUUACUGGGGCGGUAUCCUCCUAAAGAGUAACGGAGGAGUUCAAAGGUACGCUAGGCGCGAAUGGAAACCGUGCCGAUAGUGCAAUGGCAUAAGCGUGCUUGACUGUAAGACGGCCAUGUCGAGCAGGUACGAAAGUAGAACAUAGUGAACCGACAAUUCGCAUUAGAUGCGGUUGAAGAUUAACGGAUAGAAGCUACUCCGGGGAUAACAGGCUAGUUCCGCCUAAGAGUUCAUAUCGACGGCGGAGUUCGGCACCUCGAUGUCGGCUCACCUUAUCCCGGGGCUGGAGAAGGUCCCAAGGGUAUGGCUGUUCGCCAUUUAAAAAGGUACGCGAGCUGGGUUCAGACCGUCCAGGAAUUAGUUGCAACAAAAGAUUUAUCUGCGUUGUCUCUGAUUUCUGGAUCGUCUGAAUCCCGAGGAAAAUUUUUUGAUUAUUUUUAAAUGAAAUAUAAAAAUAUGUUUUUGUCUUUUCGUCUAAGAUAUUUUAUAUAGAUCCUGCAAUUUCUAUAUAAAGUAAAAGAUAUAAUAUUUGCUAUUACCAAGGUAAUACAAAUAAAAAGAGAACCAUCCUAUUACGGCGGUCUCAUGUAGUGAUACAUGAUGACAUGCUCAACUAAUAUCGGAGAAACCCUCAGCGAC
rnacentral:rRNA from 1 species